rnacentral:rRNA from 1 species
UACAGAGGCCUCAAGCGUUAGGCGGAAUCACUGGGCUUAAAGCGUGUGUAGGCGGAUCGUUAAGUGCCUUGUGAAAUCCCACGGCUCAACCGUGGAACUGCUGGGCAUACUGCCGAUCUUGAGCCACUUAGGGGCAACCGGAACAAACGGUGGAGCGGUGAAAUGCGUAGAUAUCAGGAGGAACACCGAUGGCGAAGGCAGGUCGUCUGGGCUGACACUGACGCUCAUGCACGAAAGCGUGGGGAGC